rnacentral:rRNA from 1 species
CGCUGGCGGCGUGCUUAACACAUGCAAGUCGAACGGGAUCCAUCAAGCUUGCUUGGUGGUGAGAGUGGCGAACGGGUGAGUAAUGCGUGACCGACCUGCCCCAUACACCGGAAUAGCUCCUGGAAACGGGUGGUAAUGCCGGAUGUUCCAGUUGAUCGCAUGGUCUUCUGGAAAGCUUUCGCGGUAUGGGAUGGGGUCGCGUCCUAUCAGCUUGACGGCGGGGUAACGGCCCACCGUGGCUUCGACGGUUAGCCGGCCUGAGAGGGCGACGGCCACAUUGGGACUGAGAUACGGCCCAGACUCCUACGGGAGGCAGCAGUGGGGAAUAUUGCACAAUGGGCGCAAGCCUGAUGCAGCGACGCCGCGUGAGGGAUGGAGGCCUUCGGGUUGUAAACCUCUUUUAUCGGGGAGCAAGCGUGAGUGAGUUUACCCGUUGAAUAAGCACCGGCUAACUACGUGCCAGCAGCCGCGG